GUACUAUAUUUGGCUAAGCUAACGGCUAACCACUGUGGUAGAGACAGUGGAAAGCAUUACGUUGUACACACCUGAGUGAGAAACAUGUCUGCCCCCACCAGGCUUUUCUCUGAAGUUUUAGGGACAGAAAAUGCAAACGCUGAAACGUUAACUGUCCUUGCAAUUCUCACUCGGAGCAGAAAGAGAAAAGUGGCAGUGAUGUUUACUAAAGUUGUUGUGUAAAAUCGCUCAGCUUAAUUUUGCGCAUUUCUGAAGAAAUGUCGCUUCAGCAUCUCGUUUCACUCAUUUUGCUUGAUAUGGAGUAUUAAAUCAGCCUUCCUGUCCGUAAGUCACAGGUCUAACAUCGUUGCAGUCGCAGUGAGGCUAUGUGGCUCUAUAACAGCAGCAGAUGUAUGUGAUACUGUGUGCCAAACUUGCAAUUCAAGAGGCGCACAUGUUACAAAGCUGUCUCCCUUUUUCUACGAGUUAGCGUUGGACAUGCACAGUUUAACUCCAGUUUAACACUUUCUUAAGCCAGAAGAGGCAGGGCAAGGAGCUUCUCUUCAACAUUGUUCUGAGCUCUGCAUAAGAGACACAAAGAGCUCCGGAAACUCAUCAAAUGUCUGAACACCAGACCAGACCCAGCCACAGCAUCCACUGGAAAGCGGUCAAAGGUCAUUGACCAGGAGUCUGUGGAUGGCCGGAGAAAGAUCAAGGAGGACAUUCAAAUCCAACGCCAGACCAUCUUUGAAGAUGAGGCUGCCGUCCCCCCUCAUAUACAACCAGCUGUUAUCACAUGAGAGAAAUUGGUCACAUGAUAACAAAACUCCUUAAGAACUGAGUAACUCCAUCCACUGAGAAAGGCCACAAGAUGCCUCAGAAACAACAAUCUCGACUUUGUGACCUUUUUUGUUUGUUCUUAUUUAGUCUAGUUUUCAACAUUGUGGUUCACCAUAAGGUUGAGAUCUCCCUUCCCUUUCUUCCUUGGCCUUAAAGACAAAUGGCAAUGCUCUCAAGUGUUUUGGCGGACAGGCACUUUAGCAAACCCACUCUGCUUGGUGCUGUGGACAUGUGUUAAGUUUUUGAUGUGCUGGACAUUCUUUGUCUGCAGACUCUCAGAAACAGAAUUUACCUCAAUCAGGCUGUUGUUUUUAUUUGUCUGCCUCAGCAGUAUUUGAGCCACAUAUGACAGUACGUUGCCCACUUGAUGUUACAUUAAGAGUUGAAUUUACUGUGUUAAUGUUUAAAGACUUGUGAUCAGGACAUUGAAUAGAGGUUGCUUACAUGGAUAAUGCUGUACUGGUUUCACUGAAAAAGAAAAUACACUGAUCAUUUGGAAAGAUCCUUCAA